CACAAUUAAAAGAAAAUCCUGAAAAAGUCUAUAAUUUCUUGUUUACUUCUCUCUUCAGAUAAAAAUGCAAGUCUGCUCUGUAAAUACAGACCCCAGAGACCUAUGAAUGGCUGGCACCAUGGGAGACCUGUCCAGAACAAGAAGACCCGGUACCAUGCCAAAAGAGGCCAAAGCCAAGCCUUCAAGUACUGAGUCUAGAGGAAGGGACAAACCCUGCUGCCAGCAGAUGACUAGCAGAGCUGAAAGUGAGAAGGUGAGAUACUGUUCCUGCAGUGCUGGAGCACUUGCCUGACACCUGCACAGAUGCUUCAGCCUGAUUUCAAGAUAUAUGAGGGCAAAAGACGUGGAGUCACGCGUCCCCACCAGCUCCACCCAUGGGUGCCCAUGUGCAGACGGGCCGUUGUCUCAGCUGGACACAAAGUUGGAUGUUCAAUCAGCCCAGAUAAAC